AACGAACGCUGGCGGCAGGCCUAACACAUGCAAGUCGAACGCUCGUAGCAAUACGAGAGUGGCAGACGGGUGAGUAACGCGUGGGAACCUUCCCAGUGGUACGGAAUAGCUCAGGGAAACUUGAGGUAAUACCGUAUACGCCCUUCGGGGGAAAGAUUUAUCGCCAUUGGAUGGGCCCGCGCCGGAUUAGCUAGUUGGUGGGGUAAUGGCUCACCAAGGCGACGAUCCGUAGCUGGGCUGAGAGGAUGAUCAGCCACACUGGGACUGAGACACGGCCCAGACUCCUACCGGAGGCAGCAGUGGGUAAUAUUGGACAAUGGGCGGAAGCCUGAUCCAGCCAUGCCGAGUGUGUUAAGAAGGCCUUUUGGUUGUAAAGCACUUUAAGCGAGGAGGAGGCUCCUUUAGUUAAUACCUAAAGAGAGUGGACGUUACUCGCAGAAUAAGCACCGGCUAACUCUGUGCCAGCCGCCGCAGUAACAC
rnacentral:rRNA from 1 species